UACGUAGGGUGCAAGCGUUAUCCGGAAUUAUUGGGCGUAAAGAGCUCGUAGGCGGUUUGUCGCGUCUGCCGUGAAAGUCCGGGGCUCAACUCCGGAUCUGCGGUGGGUACGGGCAGACUAGAGUGAUGUAGGGGAGACUGGAAUUCCUGGUGUAGCGGUGAAAUGCGCAGAUAUCAGGAGGAACACCGAUGGCGAAGGCGGUUUCCUGGAGCCCACUUGACGCUGAGACGGCGAAAAGCUGGGGGGAGCAAACGGG
rnacentral:rRNA from 1 species